rnacentral:rRNA from 1 species
GAUGAACGCUAGCUACAGGCUUAACACAUGCCAGUAGCGGGACCGGCGCACGGGUGAGUAACACGUAUCCAACCUGCCCUUUACUCGGGGAUAGCCUUUCGAAAGAAAGAUUAAUACCCGAUAUAAAGGAUGGGGAUGCGUUCCAUUAGGUUGUUGGUGAGGUAACGGCCCACCAAGCCUCCGACGGAUAGGGGUUCGGAGAGGAAGGUCCCGCACAGUGGAACUGAGACACGGGCCAAACUCCUACGGGAGGCAGCAGUGAGGAAUAUGGGGCAAUGGGCGUUAGCCUGAACCAGCCAAGUAGCGUGAAGGAUGAAGGCUUAUGGGUCGUAAACUUCUUUUAUAUAAGAAUAUGUAUUAUAUGAAUAAGGAUCGGCUAACGCCGUGCCAGCAGCCGCGGUAAUUC